rnacentral:tRNA from 1 species
GCCUGCUUAGCUCAGUGGUAGAGCGUCUGUUUCAUAAGCCGAUGGUUCGCUAGUUCGAAUCUAGCAGCAGGCA